CCUUGUCGGAACGGUGACUAACACGAAUAAAGUUGUUAAAAAUGAUACCAAAGUCUAAAGAAAGGUGAAGCUCUGUUAUCUAAUAAUGAUACAUUAGGUAGGGAGAAGGAAACUGUACAAGAGAGCAAUAAAUGACGCAGAGUCACCAAAUUCCCACAGACUGAAGCACCUGCCCCACCUGACAUCUGAUGAAGGCGUCACACAAGACAUCAUGAAGGAGCUCUUACUGCAAAUGGGCAGAGAUGGGACAAAUCUGAAGCAGCUGUG